GAAUUUAACUGUCAAUCCUGAUAUGAUCAUCCAUAUUAUAUUUUAAUUUUCAAAAUUUAUCAUAAGGAUUACCAUGAUCGAAGUUUUAUUGAAUUGAAACACACUGAUAUAUUAACUCCUACUUAUUCGGAGGGGUCAAUUCCAUCUUGACUCACACAUCGACUUCUCAAGUACUUGACUGUGCUCAGAAAUCUUUCAUCACUGAAUUAAAAAUUUGAGUAGUUUGACAUCAAAACAUAGUGAGUUGCUUGCAAGUCACUAUGGUGAUCUCA
rnacentral:lncRNA from 1 species